rnacentral:rRNA from 1 species
GUCUACGGCCAUACCACCCCGAACGCGCCUGAUCUUGGACGGUAAGCAGGGUCAGGCCUGGGUAGUACUUGGAUGGGAGAAGUCCGCAAUCAUUUUUCCCUUUGUUCCUAUACACUGUGAGACA